rnacentral:rRNA from 1 species
GACGAACGCUGGCGGCGUGCCUAAUACAUGCAAGUAGAACGCUGAAGAGAGGAGCUUACUCUUCUUGGAUGAGUUGCGAACGGGUGAGUAACGCGUAGGUAACCUGCCUUGUAGCGGGGGAUAACUAUUGGAAACGAUAGCUAAUACCGCAUAACAAUGGAUGACACAUGUCAUUUAUUUGAAAGGGGCAAUUGCUCCACUACAAGAUGGACCUGCGUUGUAUUAGCUAGUAGGUGAGGUAAUGGCUCACCUAGGCGACGAUACAUAGCCGACCUGAGAGGGUGAUCGGCCACACUGGGACUGAGACACGGCCCAGACUCCUACGGGAGGCAGCAGUAGGGAAUCUUCGGCAAUGGGGGCAACCCUGACCGAGCAACGCCGCGUGAGUGAAGAAGGUUUUCGGAUCGUAAAGCUCUGUUGUAAGUCAAGAACGGGUGUGAGAGUGGAAAGUUCACGCUGUGACGGUAGCUUACCAGAAAGGGACGGCUAACUACGUG